rnacentral:lncRNA from 1 species
UAAGCUGUUUUUCUAAUAUCUUCCUUUCCCUCAUGUUCUUCCAGGUUCAUGAAAACCCAUAACAUGGUACAUUGCAUUGGAAACUUGGCUUGCUCAGUUCCCAGUGACCAACUCUGAACUCUCCUUUCUGGAAACGUGGUGAAAACUUCCUAACAAAAAGGAAAAAAGGAGUCUUCUAACUUCAGGCUGUGUCUCCUUUCCCUCAUCCAUGAACAAGAGAUGCAUUCACUCCACAAUCUGAGGGUUUUCUUAAAAGGCAAUUGGCCACCACUAGUUCCCAUCAGCUGCUCACCUUGAAAUGGUGGCAGUCUCUGACAUCAGUCAGCUGUUGCCACAGGAAAGAUUAAGUCAUCUUAUUUGCAAGUGCCGUCAGUUAAAGACAUCAGAGGAAAAAUAAAAGCCUAUGGUUAAAGAAUGUUAAGGAAGAAGAAAAAAGUGGGAAAAUCCUCUUGGACUGGUGGAUCUGAGCGAGGAAUGACUGCCAUGAAUGUGUUUUGUAAGAAUCCUUGUGCAAACCACUAACAGGAGAAUUCAAGUCAAAUUUUGACUAUUGUUUCUUGCAGAGCCCUUCAUACUGGGAAAUGAAUCCAAAACUUUUAUACUCUUCUUAAAGUGAGUAUUGGAGUUCCAGUGUGUACCUUUUGUUCCUGCAGCAUGUUCAGAGUUGGAAGAUAAUCCAUAUCUGUGAAAUAAAAAUGAAAGCAUUGUGUGUAAACCUGGAAUU